ACUCGCCUACAUGAAGCUGGAGUUACUAGUAAUCGCAGAUCAGAAUGCUGCGGUGAAUGCGUUCCCGGGUCUUGUACACACCGCCCGUCACACCACGGAAGUUGGGGGGCGCCCGAAGCCACUUAGCUAACCCUUUUGGGAAGCGAGUGUCGAAGGUGAAAUCAAUAACUGGGGUGAAGUCGUAACAAGGUAGC
rnacentral:rRNA from 1 species